GAUGAACGCUAGCUACAGGCUUAACACAUGCAAGUCGAGGGACCGGCGCACGGGUGAGUAACCCGUAUCCAACCUGCCCUUUACUCGGGGAUAGCCUUACGAAAGAAAGAUUAAUACCCGAUAUAAAGGAUGGGGAUGCGUUCCAUUAGGUUGUUGGUGAGGUAACGGCUCACCAAGCCUUCGAUGGAUAGGGGUUCGGAGAGGCAGGUCCCUGAGUGUGGAACUGAGACACGUUCCAAACUCCUACGUGAGGCAGCAGUGAGGAAUAUUGGGCAAUGGGCGCUAGCCUGAACCAGCCAAGUAGCGUGAAGGAUGAAGGCUUAUGGGUCGUAAACUUCUUUUAUAGAAGAAUAUGUAUUAUAUGAAUAAGGAUCGGCUAACUCCGUGCCAGCCGCCGCGGUAAUUC
rnacentral:rRNA from 1 species